UACGUAGGUGGCAAGCGUUGUCCGGAUUUAUUGGGUUUAAAGGGUGCGUAGGCGGCUUUGUAAGUCAGUGGUGAAAUAUGGCAGCUUAACUGUCAAGGUGCCAUUGAUACUGCGGAGCUUGAGUACAGAUGAGGUAGGCGGAAUUGACGGUGUAGCGGUGAAAUGCGCAGAUAUCAGGAGGAACACCAAUUGCGAAGGCAGCUCGCUGGGACGUUACUGACGCUGAGACGCGAAAGCGUGGGGAGCAAACAGG
rnacentral:rRNA from 1 species